rnacentral:rRNA from 1 species
AUUGAACGCUGGCGGCAGGCCUAACACAUGCAAGUCGAACGGUAACAGGAAGCAGCUUGCUGCUUUGCUGACGAGUGGCGGACGGGUGAGUAAUGUCUGGGAAACUGCCUGAUGGAGGGGGAUAACUACUGGAAACGGUAGCUAAUACCGCAUAACGUCGCAAGACCAAAGAGGGGGACCUUCGGGCCUCUUGCCAUCGGAUGUGCCCAGAUGGGAUUAGCUAGUAGGUGGGGUAACGGCUCACCUAGGCGACGAUCCCUAGCAGGUCUGAGAGGAUGACCAGCCACACUGGAACUGAGACACGGUCCAGACUCCUACGGGAGGCAGCAGUGGGGAAUAUUGCACAAUGGGCGCAAGCCUGAUGCAGCCAUGCCGCGUGUAUGAAGAAGGCCUUCGGGUUGUAAAGUACUUUCAGCGGGGAGGAAGGGAGUAAAGUUAAUACCUUUGCUCAUUGACGUUACCCGCAGAAGAAGCACCGGCUAACUCCGUG